AACGAACGCUGGCGGCAUGCCUAACACAUGCAAGUCGAACGCUCGUGGCAACACGGGAGUGGCGAACGGGUGAAUAACGCGUGGGAACCUGCCCCGAAGUUCGGAAUAACCGCGGGAAACUGCGGCUAAUACCGGAUGUGGCCUGAGGGCCAAAGGCGCAAGUCGCUUCGGGAGGGGCCCGCGUCCGAUUAGCUAGUUGGUGAGGUAACGGCUCACCAAGGCGACGAUCGGUAGCUGGUCUGAGAGGAUGAUCAGCCACACUGGAACUGAGACACGGUCCAGACUCCUACGGGAGGCAGCAGUGGGGAAUAUUGGACAAUGGGGGAAACCCUGAUCCAGCAAUGCCGCGUGGGUGAUGAAGGCCUUCGGUUGUAAGUACC
rnacentral:rRNA from 1 species